UUUUGUUAUCGCUGCAUGUCCAGAAAUGAAUGGAGGGAGGGUGGACAGUGGGUGGACGAUGGAGGGUUUGUGGGGGUGGAGACUUGUUGGAAAUAUUAGUGGAUGGUAGCCCCCCAGCUGAGGCUGUCUGGCAAGGGAUCAGUCUCAUUCCUCUUCAGUCAAAGGCUCCUUUUCUCUGACCCGACAGUCCCGAUGUCUCGGAGAACUGAUGCGAGAAAUGCAGCUUUAAAAACAGCCUCUGGUCCUGCUGCUGUGGAGGAGAGGAAGUCACUGAACAAACUGUUAUUCAUCAUGGAUAAUCCCGACCACCCUCUGCACCUCUUCCUGGACAGGCAGCACAACACUUUCUCUGACAGACCGAUUCAGGAAAUCUUUCAUACCACAAUCUAACAACCGCCAUGAUACAAUGCUCUAUCAUUCUGCCAGGGGAUCCUCUACCAGAUGUUAUAAAUACCUAUAUGUAUUAAACUUUUUAUCAAAUAUGAGAUAAAUAAAGAAUUUCUCACUCUCACUCAUUCAUUAUUCUAGUAUUAUGGGAGUCUUAGCUCUUGGAUGUCCAUUCUAGUGAUGAGUGUUAGUUUCACUUGAUAUUGUGUUUUGGUUUUUGCCCAUUAUUACUGAUAUUUGUAUUAGUUUUGCUAUUAUUUAUGCUUUGUGUUAUCUAGUUAAAGGUUAGUAUUCAUAUCUGUUUUUAUGUCUUUUGGUUCUUUCCUAUUUUACUGUUUUAGUUCCCCAUUCUGUGUUACAUCCUAUGUGCCCUCCCUUGAUUCGCCCAUUAUUUCAACCAGUUCAGAUCAGUUCACCCAUGCCUCAUUUCCCUGCUGUAAAAUUACCCCUCUUGUGUGUUAAGCCCUUUCUCACCUUUGCCCUUUGUUGUCCACAUAUGUUGCUGGUGCCCGUACUACAAAGUGAGUUCAGCAUACCCCAGGUAUCUUUCUGUUAUCUGGAUUCAUUUACUGUAACAUCAGUAAUAAAGAUAAAUGGUCCUACGAAGCUGGUUAUCAACUCACAAGAAAGUGGCAGUGUUGUAAGCAUCUGACCAAUUACAAGCACGGAUACCUGAUAUAAAACCAUAAUAUUAGAAAACUCUGAAGAGGUUAAACACUUGAUAUAGAAUGAAAAAAAAAAACAUACUGUAGCCGCUGCAGGCAAAUCAGAAAUUAAAGUUUAAAAAACGUAUUAAUUUCGCAACUAUAUUCACAGACUCUGUGAUCAGCAAUACUUUUUUAAAGUAUCCCCCCCUCCCCCCCAUGGACAAAGCUGGGGAGCAAGAUUAAUUUUGUUAAUUAGGAGCCAGAUAUUCAUUUACUUAACUGGCUGAGCAGGAACAGUAAUUCAAGCGAUGGCUGUUGGUGGUUAAUGACUUGAGCUCGGCUGAUGAGUUCUGUUGUGGUGACAAUACUGUACACGGCGAUCGAUCGAAUUUUCAUUAACACUGAGCGUCAGGCGUUUCAGAAGGGUCGAUCCCGAACCGGGACUGACAUUGACCCAGUUCCCUCCCCGCAUGAGACCUAUGUCAGCGCAUGUCCAUCAUCACCGCUAUCAAUAGUCAAAGCCCCUGGAGGCAAAAUGUGUGUGAAUUGAUUUUUAUUACUUGUGGAAGCACUGGACCUCAUCCAAAAACCUGCAUCCAUCACUAUGAACCUCUGUUAUCAAUUCACCAUUAUAGUUAAAUUAAAGCUCAGCAGAUUCCCACUCAAA
ensembl:lncRNA